GGGGAAUAUUGGACAAUGGGCGCAAGCCUGAUCCAGCCAUGCCGCGUGAGUGAUGAAGGCCCUAGGGUUGUAAAGCUCUUUUGUGCGGGAAGAUAAUGACGGUACCGCAAGAAUAAGCCCCGGCUAACUUCGUGCCAGCAGCCGCGGUAAUACGAAGGGGGCUAGCGUUGCUCGGAAUCACUGGGCGUAAAGGGUGCGUAGGCGGGUCUUUAAGUCAGAGGUGAAAGCCUGGAGCUCAACUCCGGAACUGCCUUUGAUACUGAGGAUCUUGAGUUCGGGAGAGGUGAGUGGAACUGCGAGUGUAGAGGUGAAAUUCGUAGAUAUUCGCAAGAACACCAGUGGCGAAGGCGGCUCACUGGCCCGAUACUGACACUGAGGCGCGAAAGCGUGGGUAGCGAAC
rnacentral:rRNA from 1 species